rnacentral:rRNA from 1 species
UACGUAGGGCGCAAGCGUUAUCCGGAAUUAUUGGGCGUAAAGAGCUCGUAGGCGGUUUGUCGCGUCUGCCGUGAAAAGUCCGGGGCUCAACUCCGGAUCUGCGGUGGGUACGGGCAGACUAGAGUGAUGUAGGGGAGACUGGAAUUCCUGGUGUAGCGGUGAAAUGCGCAGAUAUCAGGAGGAACACCGAUGGCGAAGGCAGGUCUCUGGGCAUUAACUGACGCUGAGGAGCGAAAAGCAUGGGGGAGCGAACAGG